UGUCAUCGUGAGGUUGUCACCUGAUGUUUGUCCCGUGAUGAGGAAGUAUAAAGAGUAACAGUUUGAACUUGAGCUUCAGGAGUGUGACAACAUCGGAGCUGUUCGAACGACGAGGUUUGGAAUUCUGACAGCGGGAGGUGACCCGGACAAGAUGGUGGCCGUCCUGUUCAUCUGCUCCUUGUUCUUCCUGGGUGCUUUAGGAAGUCAACCGAAACGUUGCACUUCACCGGAUCUCCUGGAAUAUCAGAAGACUGUAGU